rnacentral:tRNA from 16 species
UCGUUAGCUCAGUCGGUAGAGCAGCGGACUUUUAAUCCGUUGGUCGAAGGUUCGAAUCCUUCACGAC